GUGGGGAAUAUUGGACAAUGGGCGCAAGCCUGAUCCAGCCAUGCCGCGUGAGUGAUGAAGGCCUUAGGGUUGUAAAGCUCUUUCACCGAUGAAGAUAAUGACGGUAGUCGGAGAAGAAGCCCCGGCUAACUUCGUGCCAGCAGCCGCGGUAAUACGAAGGGGGCUAGCGUUGUUCGGAUUUACUGGGCGUAAAGCGCACGUAGGCGGUUUGUUAAGUCAGGGGUGAAAUCCCGGAGCUCAACUCCGGAACUGCCUUUGAUACUGGCAAGCUAGAGUCCGGAAGAGGUAAGUGGAACUCCUAGUGUAGAGUUGGAAUUCGUAGAUAUUAGGAAGAACACCAGUGGCGAAGGCGGCUUACUGGUCCGGUACUGACGCUGAGGUGCGAAAGCGUGGGGAGCAAACAGGAUUAGAAACCCCAGUAGUCC
rnacentral:rRNA from 1 species